CAUGUGACUGUAGAGACUCGGCCUCUGUCUGUGCGCAUGCGCGCUGCGUGUAUGCUCUGUGGAGUGAAGCUGAGAUUUGCUCUCAGAGCUGAAGCGGGUCUGGGAGCGGGUUUCUCCGUCUCUUCCUCUCCUCCGCCCCCCUGGACCCACAGAACUCACCGGGCCGGAUGUUUAUCUCUGUAGGAGUGUGUGCGGUACCGCUGGGGAUCCGGAAGGAGUUUGUGUGUGAGGACUGUGGUGGUCUUCCUGCCAGUGGCUGUCCGGAUGGUGUCCCCCAGUAUGAAGGCGCUGGUGGAUGCUAUUUGGGCUGUGUGGAGCAUCGGAGUGUACAUCUAUGACUACAUCAAUACCAGUGCCAUGGAGGAGCGCAUACACAAUCUGGAGAGUGUCAUCACGGUCCACCAGUGUGUUAUUGGCCUGCUGACUGCUGGACUGGUGGGGCUGUUCACCUACAUACUGCUUAGGAAGCACUAAAGAAGGAAGAGGAGAAGGAAGGUGGCCAUUUCUCUGUGGUAACUGAGCAGAUGUCAGUGUUAAUUGUACAGGUUAUGUCCAGCUGUGGUCACAUGCUAAAGGGAUUUUAACAUAUCAGCUUAAUUAGCUCAUUAAUAUUACCACCAACGUGCUUAAUUUAAUUAGCAGUUUCUACAUUUUAUACAACCAUCCACAUUUUCACCAUCCCCAGGUCCAUAGUUGAACAAUAUCUGCAUUGUCGUCAGUUUCGUACCACACACCCUGGCAGUUUUUGCACAGAAUCAUAAAUCUGACCAAAAUUUAAUAGAAUUAUAAUGAAUAUUCAGUACCAUUUUCACAGUAGCGUCACAUUUUAUUUUUUUUAGUUUAGUUUAAGUUCUACUAUACAAUUAACUUACAAAUAAAUUAGAGCAUGUUUGCUGUAAUAUCAGUAUGAUUAUUCAUAAUAAUGUACAACAUUCCUAGGCAGUUCAAUGGCCAUAUUCUGCAAUCUGCACUGUCUACAGCCCAAGAACAGAUAUCUGUGGAUACCAGGUUCUGCAGGAACAUUAAAUAACAGCCCAACUGUGGUUCUUACCGUUCAUAGUGUGACACCACAGUGCCGUCUGUGAACAGGAGCUAAACCAGGAUCAGAUCAGCAGUGAAGAAGAUCACCGGGCUGUAAUUGAAGCUAUCUUUAAUAGACUCUAACUUAAAAUGUGUAAUAUUUGUUGUAUCAUUUGACAGCUUGGUUAGGACCAACCAUUGGUUUGGACUCACAGGAGCACACCAAGACUAGAUAUUUCCACAGUACUGAACCAGGGGAGUGCAUUAUAAAGUGUCCUUAGUCCCUAACACGUUUACUGAACUACUGAACAACUACCAUUGCGUAGCAUUUGAUUGUGUAUUUAUAACUUAUUGUUUUUAUUUAUUAGCCUUUUCAUUCGGUAACGAGGUCAAAUGUUGUUUAAUCACAAUGGUGGUGUCAAAAAAAUUGAUUGUACUACUUUAUUAACAGUUCUGUCAUAUUUGUAUUAUUAUUUAUUUUGUUUUGAUUAAAACAAUCCCCUAGCUUUAAGAACUCAUUAGAAAGGGCAUGUUAAGGGUUCUAAUUCACUGACACUAAAUUAGUGCAAUCACAGUAUAGUAUAAAAUUAUUACUUUUAUAUAAAUACUUAUUAAAAGUCUGUAUACUUUGAAUGGACGAAUAAGUCAUAUUUUAUUUAACUGCAAACACAGUUGUGCCACCUCUUAGUAGAGACUAUGCUAAUAUCCAAGGUCCCAUUUUCCUAAAUUUCCUUGUAAAUUGAAAAUUGAAAAAUGUAAAAACAGUGGGGUUUGGGGUGAAAUUUUGGUUUGCUGUAAAAAAAAAAAACUUGCUCUGAUUUGAGGAUGUUGAGGAGUCAGAAUACAAAUAAAGCCAUUUUAUUUGUUUUCCAAUCCCAAAAGUGAACUAAGAUGUGUCUUUUGAGUCAAACAAAUUUCAAAAACAAUUUCAAAAACAUUUCAAAAGCCUAUUUUAGGUCCAAAAUGUUCUCUAAACAGUGUUUAGAGCUAUAGACAUCGGAUUCAAUUCACCACCACUUUUUUCAAUUCUGAAAUGAAACAUUUCACACCAAACCCACUAAAUGACUGACUAUAUCUUGACCAUUUAACUAUGCAGAGAUUAAUAGGGUUCUCAUUUGCGCUAAACUUAAACUGAAUGAAAGCAGUACUGUUGUACAGUUCUCUUGAUAGAUGAGCAACUGAAGUCUCUAUAUUAGUGGGCCUGUGUGAAUCACUUUGCGUUCUAUGGGAUGAAGACAGUGUUAUCUGUGAAAGCACAUGAAUGUAAAUGUACUGAAGCACUAAACCGAUAACUUACCUCAAACCUUAGUGAAUAAGCAAACAGGUUGUUUUGUUUACUUGUGUCAUUUGAGAUUUGCGCACUUGAGGGCUAAAAUAGAGUACAAAAUUAAAUCAAAAGUCCCCUCUGAAUUCUCUUCAUAUUCAACUCAACAAUAAAAUGUUUAUUUGUGAAAAGUG